GGCCGCUUAGCUCAGCCGGUUAGAGCAUUGCAUUCACAUUGCAGGGGUCGAAGGUUCGAAUCCUUCAGCGGCCA
rfam:Candidate division WWE3 bacterium GW2011_GWC2_44_9 TW82_C0036, whole genome shotgun sequence.